rnacentral:snoRNA from 11 species
AUGCGAAGGUCCCAGCGGAGGGGCAAGCUACUCAGAAAUGAGGCCUCUCUAACAUUAUCAAUUAAACCUUCGCAAACUCACGCCAAAUCGUACGACGCCCAGAUUUCUCUUUCACUUCUGUGCGUCUUGAACCCUUGGCUACAUUUCU